GUUUCUGUGGUGUAGUGGGAAUCACAUUUGCUUUACACGCGAAAGGUCCUCGGUUCGAAACCGAGCAGAAACA